CCUACGGGAGGCAGCAGUGGGGAAUAUUGGGCAAUGGGCGCAAGCCUGACCCAGCAACGCCGCGUGAAGGAAGAAGGCUUUCGGGUUGUAAACUUCUUUUGUCAGGGACGAAGCAAGUGACGGUACCUGACAAAUAAGCCACGGCUAACUACGUGCCAGCAGCCGCGGUAAUACGUAGGUGGCAAGCGUUAUCCGGAUUUAUUGGGUGUAAAGGGUGUGUAGGCGGGAAUGCAAGUCAGAUGUGAAAACUAUGGGCUCAACCCAUAGCCUGCAUUUGAAACUGUAUUUCUUGAGUGCUGGAGAGGCAAUCGGAAUGCCGGGUGUAGCGGUGAAAUGCGUAGAUAUACGGAGGAACACCAGUGGCGAAGGCAGAUUGCUGGACAGUAACUGACGCUGAGGCGCGAAAGCGUGGGGAGCAAACAGGAUUAGAUACCCGAGUAGUC
rnacentral:rRNA from 1 species